rnacentral:rRNA from 1 species
UGCCAGACUCCUACGGGAGGCAGCAGUGGGGGAUAUUGCACAAUGGGGGAACCCUGAUGCAGCGACGCCGCGUGGGUGAAGAAGCGCCUCGGCGCGUAAAGCCCUGUCAGCAGGGAAGAAAAUGACGGUACCUGAAGAAGAAGCCCCGGCUAACUACGUGCCAGCAGCCGCGGUAAUACGUAGGGGGCAAGCGUUAUCCGGAUUUACUGGGUGUAAAGGGGGCGCAGACGGCAAUGCAAGCCAGGAGUGAAAGCCCGGGGCCCAACCCCGGGACUGCUCUUGGAACUGCAUGGCUGGAGUACAGGAGGGGCAGGCGGAAUUCCUAGUGUAGCGGUGAAAUGCGUAGAUAUUAGGAGGAACACCGGCGGCGAAGGCGGCUUACUGGACGGCAACUGACGUUGAGGCCCGAAAGCGUGGGGAGCGAACAGGAUUAGAUACCCUGGUACA